GUCUUGUCUCGUCUCGACUCUAGC
rnacentral:snRNA from 1 species